rnacentral:rRNA from 1 species
GUAGGUGGCAAGCGUUGUCCGGAAUUAUUGGGCGUAAAGCGCGCGCAGGUGGGUUCUUUAAGUCUGAUGUGAAAGCCCCCGGGCUCAACCGGGGAGGGUCAUUGGAAACUGGGGGAACUUGAGUGCAGGAGAGGAAAGUGGAAUUCCACGUGUAGCGGUGAAAUGCGUAGAUAUGUGGAGGAACACCAGUGGCGAAGGCGACUUUCUGGCCUGUAACUGACACUGAGGCGCGAAAGCGUGGGGAGCAAACAGGAUUAGAUACCCUGGUAGUCCACGCCGUAAACGAUGAGUGCUAAGUGUUGGGGGGGUUUCCGCCCCUCAGUGCUGCAGCUAACGCAUUAAGCACUCCGCCUGGGGAGUACGGCCGCAAGACUG